rnacentral:rRNA from 1 species
UACAGAGGUCUCAAGCGUUGUUCGGAUUCAUUGGGCGUAAAGGGUGCGUAGGCGGCGCGGUAAGUCGGGUGUGAAAUUUCGGAGCUUAACUCCGAAACUGCAUUUGAUACUGGUGUGCUUGAGGACUGGAGAGGAGACUGGAAUUCAUGGUGUAGCAGUGAAAUGCGUAGAGAUCAUGAGGAAGACCAGUGGCGAAGGCGGGUCUCUGGACAGUUACUGACACUGAGGCACGAAGGCCAGGGGAGCAAACGGG